UACGUAGGGGGCUAGCGUUGUCCGGAAUCAUUGGGCGUAGAGCGCGUGUAGGCGGUCCGGUAAGUCCGCUGUGAAAGUCGGGGGCUCAACCCUCGGAUGCCGGUGGAUACUGUCGGGCUUGAGUACGGAAGAGGCGAGUGGAAUUCCUGGUGUAGCGGUGAAAUGCGCAGAUAUCAGGAGGAACACCAAUUGCGAAGGCAGCUCGCUGGGACGUUACUGACGCUGAGACGCGAAAGCGUGGGGAGCAAACAGG
rnacentral:rRNA from 1 species